rnacentral:misc_RNA from 1 species
AUGAUUUAUUCCAAAGAAAGCCAAAUGAUUAUGAAAUAAGAUUUAGGAUCCUACGUUGCAUAAUCUGGCAGAUACUAGAGAAGUUAAUACACUGGUUUCUGAUAAGAUUGAAUAUGACCAAACACAAAUUAUUAUUUAGUCUUUUCAUUUUAACAAUAUUAACUAUUUAGUCUAUCUAUUUUGAAAAAUAUACUGUUUAGUCCUUUCCAUUAUUUUUUCUAUCAGUCAAGUUAGUCAAAAGAAAGAGAAUAGUUACAUAGAGGGACUGAAUAAUUAAGUUAGAAAAAAAUUCCUUGAGAGACUAAACAAUUUACAGAAGGCAAACUAAAAGAUAGAGGGGCUAAAUAGUAUAUUUUUCAAAAUAGAGAAACUAAGUGAUUAGUUUCGUUAAAAUGCAUGUACUAAAUAGUAAUUUUGCAAAAAAAAAAAAAGCAUAUA